rnacentral:lncRNA from 1 species
AUUCAAAUUUACAGUUAUCAAAUAUCUAAUCACCUUCCUAGCAAGUCACAAAAUUUAAAUAAUGACAGAACCAAUACAACAUAUGUGUGUAUUGGUAGAUGCAAUAUUUUUUCCAACAUGAGACUUGCAGUCUUCACAAACUGUUAUUUUAAUUAUAAAAACCAACGAAUAAGUUAUUCCUGCAACUCAUUUACAAAUUACAAUAUUUACACUUACACAUACUUUUUCUCAAGUCCAUAUCAUUUACACAUACUUUCUCCAUGUCACAUACUUUCUUGUGUGACAAUGUCUAAUUUACCCCCAAACUAGAAUUAGUUUAAUUAUCUCUCUUUCUCUCUACCGUGACCCACUCUCUCUUUCUCUAUCCUGACCCCACUCUCUCUUUCUCUUCUAAUCCUAAAUGUCAACGAUUUGUUUUUUCUCAACGAACAGGCCAAUAAUUGCAGAUCUUAACAUCUUUCGAGUUCGUUUUCAGCUUCAUCGUUGUGGCUCAAGCUUCUUCGCGGUGGUACAAAACCAGUAUUGAUUCGAAGCCGCCAAAACCACGUUAUAUCUGUCCAAGUGGCCUCAUCCUCUCUGUGGUCAGCUCUCCCAUCGUGGUCACUGUCGGAACUGUCAUCAUCAACCAUAUCAAAAGAGAAAAAGGAUCGAGCACAUCAAUGGUGGUUUCUCCAUAUUUGCAGAUCUGGUCUUCCAAAUCUUAGGUGUUUACGAAUUUAUCUUGACUUUUAAAAUGUGCAGAAUGGUCCAAUCAAUUUUUCCCUAAACAUUUUAAUCUUUCAAUU